UAGAUACCCUGGUAGUCCACGCUGUAAACGAUGGAUACUAGCUGUUUGGAAGUAAUUUUGAGUGGCUAAGCGAAAGUGAUAAGUAUCCCACCUGGGGAGUACGCACGCAAGUGUGAAACUCAAAGGAAUUGACGGGGGCCCGCACAAGCGGUGGAGCAUGUGGUUUAAUUCGAUGAUACGCGAGGAACCUUACCAAGGUUUAAAUGGUGACUGACGUACUUAGAGAUAGGUAUUUCUUCGGACAGUUAUC
rnacentral:rRNA from 1 species